GACGAACGCUGGCGGCGUGCUUAACACAUGCAAGUCGAACGGAAAGGCCCCUUUGGGGGUCCUCGAGUGGCGAACGGGUGAGUAACACGUGAGUAACCUGCCCUUGACUUCGGGAUAACUUCAGGAAACUGGGGCUAAUACCGGAUAGGAAUCCUUGCUGCAUGGUGGGGGUUGGAAAGCUUCGGCGGUUUUGGAUGGACUCGCGGCCUAUCAGCUUGUUGGUGGGGUAGUGGCUUACCAAGGCUUUGACGGGUAGCCGGCCUGAGAGGGCGACCGGCCACAUUGGGACUGAGAUACGGCCCAGACUCCGACGGGAGGCAGCAGUGGGGAAGAUUGCACAAUGGGCGGAAGCCUGAUGCAGCAACGCCGCGUGCGGGAUGACGGCCUUCGGGUUGUAAACCGCUUUCAGCAGGGGCGAAGCUUGUGGUGACGGUACCUGCAGAAGAAGCACCGGCUAACUACGUG
rnacentral:rRNA from 1 species